rnacentral:rRNA from 1 species
GAUGAACGCUAGCGGCAGGCUUAAUACAUGCAAGUCGAGGGGCAGCGCAGUGUAGCAAUACAUGGGCGGCGACCGGCAAACGGGUGCGGAACACGUACGCAACCUACCCAUAACUGAUGAAUAGCCCUCCGAAAGGAGGAUUAAUACAUCGUAACUUAAUGAAGUGGCAUCACUUUGUUAAUAUAGCUCCGGCGGUUUUGGAUGGGCGUGCGCCUGAUUAGGUAGUUGGCGGGGUAACGGCCCACCAAGCCUGCGAUCAGUAACUGGUGUGAGAGCACGACCAGUCACACGGGCACUGAGACACGGGCCCGACUCCUACGGGAGGCAGCAGUAAGGAAUAUUGGUCAAUGGACGCAAGUCUGAACCAGCCAUGCCGCGUGAAGGAUGAAGGUCCUCUGGAUUGUAAACUUCUUUUAUAUGGGACGAAACCUCUUUUUCUUGAGAGACUGACGGUACCAUAGGAAUAAGCACCGGCUAACUCCGUGCCAGCCGCCGCCGUAACAC